rfam:Picoides pubescens contig91279, whole genome shotgun sequence.
CUGCAAGCCUUCCAGCGUGGGGGGGUCUGAGAUGGCCCCCUCAUUCCUACAGCGCUUGCCAGAGCAGCCCUGGGAUGGUUUGAGGCCUCUCCCUGCUCACACCGGGGAGGGGUUAUAGAAGUCCUGGACAUCC